AGAACCCGCAGUAUAGGCUGCCUUGUAGGGAAGUUCGCUGCAGUUCCGGUCGUGUGUGCCACCACAGAGGCUCACAGAGGCAGACGUUGAGCUAAAGAAGGGAGGCUCAUAGAGGCAGACGGUGAGCUAGAGAAGAUUACUGAAGCAUAGACUCUGUAAGCAGCUACAGUCCAGCAGAAGACCAAUGCCCUUGCAGGCAGAAGCCCUGGAGUCAAGGCACUGCUCUGCCUCUUACCCCAGACACUGACGCACAAUUGCAAGGAAAAAGAAGAACCAAAACGAAGUUAAUGUCACUUUCCUGACAUCUGUGUCCCAGACUAAUAACUCUAAGCCAAAGAACAGGUACAUUAAAUUUCCAGGUGAUACGGAAUGUUCAAUGUUCAACUUAACAUUACUCCCUACAGAAGUAACCAGUCAACAAUUAUCACGCCAGGCACAGUGCUAAUUUGGCCACAGAACCUGAUCAACCGAGCAUUCCCUUUCCAGCGUAAGCACCGCUGGGCCAAGAACAUUGAGUCAAGCAAGUUAGUUCUGUAAUCCCUGCCCCACAAAGAUGGCUUAACGUCUAAAUAAAAGACCGUCACUGUC